GAUGAAGAACGUAGCGAAAUGCGAUAAGUAAUGUGAAUUGCAGAAUUCAGUGAAUCAUCGAAUCUUUGAACGCACAUUGCGCCCGCCAGUAUUCUGGCGGGCAUGCCUGUUCGAGCGUCAUCUCAACCAUCAAGCCCUGCUUGCGUUGGGGUCCUGCGGCUGCCCGCAGGCCCUGAAAACCAGUGGCGGGCUCGCUAGUCACACCGAGCGCAGUAAUUCAUCUCGCUUUGGGCGUGCGGCGGGUUCUUGCCGUUAAACACCCCCUUUUUACCAAGGUUGACCUCGGAUCAGGUAGGAAUACCCGCUGAACUUAAGCAUAUCAAUAAGCGGAGGA
rnacentral:misc_RNA from 1 species